UACAGAGGUGGCAAGCGUUGUUCGGAAUUACUGGGCGUAAAGGGCGCGUAGGCGGUCAGCACAAGUCAGUUGUGAAAUCUCCGGGCUUAACUCGGAAAGGUCAACUGAUACUGUGCGACUAGAGUGCAGAAGGGGCAACUGGAAUUCUCGGUGUAGCGGUGAAAUGCGUAGAUAUCGAGAGGAACACCUGCGGCGAAGGCGGGUUGCUGGGCUGACACUGACGCUGAGGCGCGAAAGCCAGGGGAGCGAACGGG
rnacentral:rRNA from 1 species